AAAGUACUCCCUCCGUCCCAUAUUAAAGUGUCUUUCUAUUACAUGUAUCUAGACGUUUUUAAGACAUAGAUACAUCCAUGUUUGGAUAAAUUUGUGUCACUUAAUAUGGGACGGAGGAAGUAGUCU
rnacentral:pre_miRNA from 1 species